rnacentral:lncRNA from 1 species
GCUUGGGCAGGGUGUGUGUGUUAUUCUUGAAGCAAUGCACUUGUAUUUAUAGGCUAUGAAAUUCAGUUUUGCACCAUCUGAAAAUUGACCAAAAAUAGCAAUAUUGUGCAUGGGUGCAGGGGCAUUAGAUUAGGCCCAACCAAUGAUGCUAUCCACUUCUAAUUCGUGCACAACGGAUACUGAAAUCAUCACAUGGAAGCAUGCAAAGGGAAAUAAUCAUUUGAGCUCAAAUAUUGCCAAAACAAAC